GGUUAUAGAGCCUGGGGAGGGUUUAAAUGAAUUCCCUUGUUCGUGGGGUUCUUUCUACCGAACGGCGGGUUAUUCGGUAGUUUCCACACGAAUUCAUGGUAGUCUGGAGGUCUCAGCGGUGUUUCCCUAGUCGAGUGUCCGAUUUUAGUUCCAGACACUCGACGGCAAAACACCGCUGUUCGGGAGUUUAAGAUGGCCGCCGCCACGUGUUCGUUUCCC